CAUAUCUAUUGGCGGGUUGAGAAUGGGAGGUGGGGGGAAAUCCCAAAUGGGAAAGAUAGAUCUCCACUUUAUUUAAUCGUUUUGAACGGGGAAAACAUUAACCCCUUCGGUUCUUGAGUUAGCCUCUCUCUCUCUAUCACCACUUACGCACAUACACACCCUACACAAGAACUUCUGGGGUCCCGAUUUGCCUUCCAGCUCUUAGAUUCACUUUUUGAGAGGCGCACAGCUCGGAACCUCAACGUUGCAUGCGCCCCCCCCAAAAUAAAACCCUUGAGGGCAAACCCCAGACCCUUCUCAGAGGGUUUAUGUAUUUAUUUCAUUGAAGGGAGGAAAUGUUGAAACCCACGACCGGGGAAGGCGGUAUUAACAGUAAGUUCAUGGCCGGCGAAUGAAGUCCAAGUUGUUUUAUGGCCUGGUUUCACUGGCCACUUGUUGAUAUGCUUCCCUCCCCCCGCCCUCCGCCCACCCUCAGGCCAUUUAAAUAGCAAAUAUGUCCCUUGAGACCGCAAUGCUGCUUAUUCGUAGUUCAGAAGGAAGAACGGAAGCCCCUCGCCUUUUUUUUUCCUGGAAACGGGCAAGCAAAAAUCCUCCUUCCGCGAGAUAAGGUGAUCUUGUGUUAAGAUCGGGGUGGGGGCCCAAAGGUACGGGAAAAAGAGCAACCUUUCUCCUUGGAAUUAGAUCCCAGCCUCGGUGAAUUCUGUUGAGAUCCAUUUUCGAGGAAAUCGAGGGGUUUCCUUAGGCAGCGGCCUGAGAGACCCCGCUUUACCUGAGAGUAAAACCCCAUUGAGUUGAACAGCUGGCGGCCGAGUCUGCACGUUUGGGCUGGAUUAGAGCGUCUGGACGAUUCUACACUCCUCGGUCUGCGAAAUACGUCCGAACACUGCCACAGUUCGUUCUAAAUAGUCCUGGGUUAGGUUAGCCCGACUCCUGGGGGGUAAAAUAACUCUCGUUCCUUUGGAACGGAGAAGUACAGGAUCGCGCGUCUGACUGCGCCUUCAGGUCUUUCGCCCAGCGCCUCUUCCUUAGGGGUCACAAAGGAUUUCCACACGCCAGAAAAGUGACUGACACAGGAAGUAAAACAGCUGCUUUGCACGAAGGGUUGGGCGGAUGUCAGUUUCUAGCAACCUUAGCCCUCACUUUCAUUGCACUGGGAUGAAUCUGGAGACCAGGGACAUACCUGACUCUUCCCAGAUUUUGACUUCGCGUGUGCCCGCUUAUCAUGAGCCGGAAAAAUGCUUCGUGGUUGCUUCAAACUUUCCCCUGGACCCGCAUAAUGAGCCGUUAAUUAGCUUAGCCACAGCUAUUCAACUGUGAAGUACCCCAUACGUCCCCACCCGCUCUUUCCCCAACCUCAGGGUGGCUGGGAAUCCAUUUCUUGCAGGCACAAUGCCGGGUUCCCACGACGCAGGGAGUUGCAACCCACCGAUUUUAACCUAAAGUGUUCGCGAGGGCGGAGCGCUGAAGGUUGCUUUCUGGCCCAGCACCUCUUCGGAUUAUUUGAGUCAACCAGGAUUCAGUUAACCCCGAGUAAAGGUAUUGUGGGAACGCAGCCGCUGUGUCUAUUCCACAGCUAUUUCAACCUGCAAACUGACUUUAAACAAACAUUCAAACUGUUGCAGAGGUACACCAACCGCCAGCCAUAUUUGCAA